UGUGUACCCCUUCUCACCAUGUAACCUGUGAUCUUGCCCAAAGCUCCUGCAGGGAUUGCUCUGAUUUGGCCUGAUUAUGUCAGACUUCCUGAACAUGAGGAUAAAUCACUAAUGAAGGCUGUAAUGCAGGACUGGGCAGUGGGCUUCUUUGCCAGACUCCAUAUGGACAUUCUGGGGUGGCAAGGUCAAGGAGGAGAUACAGAGACCUUUGAAGAGUUAGGAGACCAUGCUGGGGAACUGCACAUGUCAGAGAGCUGUGGGCAGUCUCUUGAAACUGAUGACAUUCUUGACUGACAGCCAGCAAGAAGCGUGCAGUCUUAUCAGAGGAAGGAAUUGAAUUCUGCCAACAACUUAAGUGAGCUUAGAAGUGAAUCCUUACCCAGACAAUUCCCAGCACCUGUGGCAAGAAUUGGGAUAUGUCGAAUUGGAAGAAGAAAAAAAAAAAAGCAAAAAUAUUAGCAAAAUAGUUUAAAGGAAAAGCUAUGAGAAGAGAUGGAAACAACUUACAAUGAUCCAAAAGGGAGACAUUAAGGCAAGAGGAAAUGUUAAUGUGCUAUAUAUUUGGUGAUCUAGGAUUUACGUCCACACCACUUCUGUUCCCGAGGAUUAGAACAGAGGAGGCUUGGGUCUUGCUGGUGCGGACAUCUCCUAAUUCCAAACAUCUCCUAAAUCCAUCGAGAAGAAAGAAGAUGAGAAGGAACUCACCUUGAUGCUUUGCAGUUAUCAUCUCUGACAGCCUUUCCCCAGAUAGCGGCAUCCAAAAAACCAGAAACAAGGACAGACCACUGAUGGAAGGCCUAUGGUUUGCCAGAUACUCUUCUGCACGAGCAACACACCAGCAGCGGUUUUGAUCCAAAGAUAACAUUAGACAUAGGCAAGGAAACUGUAAAUGUAAUCAUGCGAAGUACAAGAGAAAUGCAAGCAGAAUGAGAUGGCCACCUGGGAAGGCCAAGGACGGAUGUUAAAUAGUCAGAGGAGCUCAACCGAUGACAUAUUUAGAGGACACAUCUACAAUUUAGGGUGCCAGUAAAUUUGAAUAAUCUGGGAAGUGACCCUUUGCCCUUCAGAAUUACUCUUUCCUUCUUCUGCAUCGUGUUAGCACUUUAGGCACGUCUGCUGUGGCCUUUACACAUGCUGCCUUACCCAACCAAGAGCUUUCUUUGUGUUUUUCUUCCCCACUGGUCAAGAGUGGGCCCUUGCUUCUCCAUCUCUGCACAUCCCCAGGGGCAGUUCUACUCUCUGCACACUUGCUGAUGCUCAGGACUAGUGUCAGGCUCCAUGCCACCAGUAGGUGAGACACCUUUUAUUCAUCCUAUUCACUGUGGUUUUCCCACUGAUGGUGUUUGCCUCUCAGCUUCCAUCCUAACUAGGGUAGUUCCUCAACCAUUCUGUAAAUUGGUAAAUCAGUGCCCUGGAGGGGAAUACAUUAGAAGAUAUAAACUCAACCAUCAUUUCUUAGUUCGGGGCCAGUAUUAAUCCUAAUAAGCAUUUCAUCAUAACACACUCCUCAAGCAUAGAGUCUGUUGGUGUGACUGGGAAUCAGAGGGUCCUCACACAGUCCUCGAGAGAAGGAUGAUAAAUAAAGUGACGGACAGAAGACAGAAUGCUCACACCUGGUCCAGGCCCCAGUCCGGUUAAUAUCCUGCCUCGUCUUUCACACCACGCUUUGUACUCCCUAUAGAGACAUGAAACAGCAUAUGAGGGAAAAUGCCUUGGGUCAAAUAAAACAGCAUGGAUAAAAAGUCCUCCUGUGUGUAGACCCAUUCUUCUCUGAACCUUUGCUAUAAAUCCAAAUAAUAGCACCUGCAUCUUUCCAAUGCGAGAGGAAGUUGUGAUGGUCAGGAACCAACUUAAGAGUUUUGACCUCAAGAGGCACUUGCUACUUAGAGUAUUAUUGUCUCACUCAUAUAGUCAACAGUUAUUUCUCAGUAGAUGCUGUUUUGGGGGCAUAGUGCUAGGUGGGCUUUAAGGAGGACACACAGGUUAACGAGACCCUGCCCUUGCCCCCGAGGGGCUUACUCUGAAGCUACUCAGAGGGGGCCACAUGGACUGUGCCUGACCCAGGGGCUGUUUGUGACCCUCCAAAUGAAUAAGAAGGAAAAAGUAAACUUGUAUAGCAAAUAAUGUCAUGUCUGUUGAAUCUGAUAUAAGUCAAAUUGCAUUUUAUGUGUCAUUUUUAAUUCAUUUUCAGUACUAAUUAUGUUAUAUAAAUGUAAGGAUCUACAACAGACUGGAAACUAAAAAACAACUUGUCCUUAACUGUUUGCAGUUUCAGCAGCACUGGUCAAAUGUAUACACAUGACUAAACUAUUAAUAUAAGACAGGCAAGGAUAAAUGUAUGAAAAAGCUGAAAUACUUUAAUGUUAAAGAGGGAGACUUCCUUCGUGGCUCAGAUGGUUAAAGAAUCUGCCUGCAAUGCAGAAGAUCUGGGUUUGAUCCCUU